rnacentral:rRNA from 1 species
UACGAAGGGGGCGAGCGUUGUUCGGAAUUACUGGGCGUAAAGGGCGCGUAGGCGGUCUUUUAAGUUAGGCGUGAAAUCCCCGGGCUCAACCUGGGAACUGCGCUUAAGACUGCAAGGCUAGAGUACGGUAGAGGAUGGCGGAAUUUCCUGUGUAGCGGUGAAAUGCGUAGAUAUAGGAAGGAACAUCAGUGGCGAAGGCGGCCUCCUGGCUCGACAUUGACGCUGAGGUGCGAAAGCGUGGGGAGCAAACGGG